GCCAGGCGCAGUGGUGUACACCUGUAAUCCCAGCAGCUUGGGAGGCGGAGGCAGGAGGAUCGUGAGUUCAAAGCCAGCCUCAG
rnacentral:sRNA from 1 species